ACCCGCUGAACUUAAGCAUAUCAAUAAGGGGAGGAAAAGAAAACAACUGUGAUUCCCUCAGUAACGGCGAGUGAACAGGGAUCAGCUCAGCCAUGAAGUGAGGUUAGCAAUAGCCUCACGGUGUAUGGUUAAGGAUUGUGUCCAUGUUGUUUAGUUGUAGCAUUGAAAGUCUGAUGGAACUCAGCUUCAAAGAGGGUGAUAAGCCUGUUAAUAUGUUACAUUGCUAUUCGACAUUGGUUCAAUCUAAUGAGUAGAGUUACUUGAAAUUGUAACUUGAAGCUGGAGAUAUGUCUCUCCAAAAGCUAAAUACGAUGAUAGUCCGAUAGCAAACAAGUACCGUGAGGGAAAGUUGAAAAGCACUCUGAAGAGAGAGUGAAAAGUACGUGAAACCGUUAUUGGGAAAUUGAAGAGAGCGUUAUUGUUCUUAGUGUUGUGUUCUUUUGACAUGACUAUUUAAAGAGGUGUAGUUGUGUCUGGCGUGAUGAUGAUUUGGUGUAUCAGCAUUUGUUAGAACUUAAUUGUUUUUUCAUUUGUGGCUAUAUCAAUAUUGUCAAAUGAGAUAUUUUUCUUGUUAAUUCACAAAGGUUCAACCUCACAUUCAAUGCUCUCUACAACCCGUCUUGAAACACGGACCAAGGAGUUUGAGUUGCUUGCAAGUAUUGACGUUGUUUGAAAACGUGCAUGCGCAAUGAAAGUGAUUGUGUUGUUUGAUUUAUCUUACUUCACUUACUGAAAUGUGGUGAUGGCGCUAUAACAGUGUCCCGCAACCACGGACAGUCUUGUUAACUUAUUGUGCUUGACUGAUCUAGAGCAAGUAGCUCAAGACCCGAAAGAUGGUGAUCUAUGCUUGAUUAGAGUGAAGCCACGGGAAACCAUGGUGGAGGCUCGAAACGAUUCUGACGUGCAAAUCGAUCGUCUGAAUUGAGCAUAGGGGCGAAAGACUAAUCGAACCAUCUAGUAGCUGGUUCCCUCCGAAGUUUCCCUCAGGAAAGG
rnacentral:rRNA from 1 species